CCGUCCGAGGGGCGCUGCAGCAGGCUCGACCUGUCAGGCUCGGAUGGGGCGUUGUCCUUACAGGUCUUGCCUGGGGACGCCAAACGCACACAACGGCGCCCAUUCGAA
rnacentral:ncRNA from 1 species